AUGAAAACCUGAUACACUUUACAAUGGUUACUCAUCUUUCAAUCUUUUUGCUGCUCUUGGUGUCUGUAGGACACUCCUAACUGAGUAGGACCUUUGCUUUAGACACAGCUGUUCCUUUUUAUCAGUGUGGUAAGCAGUUUAUGUCUAACAGCAGUUUUAUGGUCCACUGACUGUACUGAAAGGCAGCGCUUUACCAACCAUGAACUUUGACAUAUUUAUAUCCGGUUUUUAAUCUGAAAACAUGCAAAAAAGAGUCUUCUAAAUAUAAUUUAUUAUCAGAACAACUCUCAUGUAGGUGUUGAACAGCAUAUAAAAUUUAUAUUUAGGCCUUAGAUUUUGUCCUCCUUCAAGAGACAUAGUGACAUCAGUAGGUGAACUGAAGGUUGAAAUCCCAAUUGCUUUGAGGGGACAUCAAGCCUUAUGAAUUUGUAUUAGUACUAAAAACAGCAGGGGAAUAGUAUAAUUAACAUGUAUAAGAUUCCAUUUUUAAAUACAAAGCGAAACCUAGAAUGAACCUUACAAAGGACCUUUGGAUAAACCCUCUGUUAUGUCAUAGCUAACAAUGUCAAUAGCCUUAGCUAUUAUAGAUGAAGAUCUUUGUUUCUGCAAGUUUGUGGGCUUUUCCUGAAUUCCCAACAUAUACUUUAUUAUGUUAGAUCUUUUAUUCUUUAACUCUUGCAAUUAUGUACUAUUUAAUACCAGAGUUUUAUUUUUUUUCCCAAAGUACUCAAUUCCUAAAAUUGAAUAGGAACUUCACAUGCCUACACUUAGUCUGAAGUGUUUAUAUGCUUUAAUUAGAGUAGAAAUAUUUCCUAGCUUUCAAAGUACUUCUAUGCAGACCAUAAUCCAAAGCAAAGGGGAAAAUGCUAUUUAAAUGACUGCUCUGUUGUAAAAGUACUCAAGAAAAUUCAACUUUCAGCUGAGUACCAGACUAAAUUUCGUAGUAGUAAAAGAUG
rnacentral:lncRNA from 1 species